GACGAACGCUGGCGGCGUGCUUAACACAUGCAAGUCACGGGGGGCCCGCAAGGGUCAACCGGCGAACGGGUGCGUAACACGUGAGCGACCUGCCCAAUUGCGGGGGAUAGCCGGCCCAACGGCCGGGUAAUACCGCAUACGCUUCCCUGGGGGCAUUCUUGGGGAAGGAAACCUACGGGGCGAUUGGAGGGGCUCGCGGCCUAUCAGCUAGUUGGCGAGGUAACGGCUCACCAAGGCGAUGACGGGUAGCUGGUCUGAGAGGAUGGCCAGCCACAUUGGGACUGAGAGACGGCCCAGACUCCUACGGAGGCAGCAGUGGGGAAUCUUGCGCAAUGGCCGAAAGGCUGACGCAGCGACGCCGCGUGGAGGAUGA
rnacentral:rRNA from 1 species